rnacentral:rRNA from 1 species
AUUGAACGCUGGCGGCAGGCCUAACACAUGCAAGUCGAACGAGUGGCGGACGGGUGAGUAAUGUCUGGGAAACUGCCUGAUGGAGGGGGAUAACUACUGGAAACGGUAGCUAAUACCGCAUACCAUCAGAUGUGCCCAGAUGGGAUUAGCUAGUGGGGGGGGUAACGGCUCACCAAUGCGACGAACCCUAGCUGGUCUGAGAGGAUGACCAGCAAAACUGGAAAUGAGAAAGGGUCCAGAAUCCUACGGGAGGCAGCAGUGGGGAGUAUUGCACAAUGGGCGCAAGCCUGACGCAGCAAUGCCGCGUGUAUGAAGAAGGCCUUCGGGUUGUAAAGUACUUUCAGCGGGGAGGCGUUACCCGCAGAAGAAGCACCGGCUAACUCCGUGCCAGCAGCCGCGGUAAUUC